rnacentral:rRNA from 1 species
GAUAAACGCUGGCAGCGUGCCUAACACAUGCAAGUCGAACGCCCUGGAGCAAUUCAGGGAGUGGCGGACGGGUGAGGAACACGUGGGUGAUCUACCUUGAGGUGAGGAAUACCGGCGAGAAAUCGCCGACAAUACCGCAUAGGUUCGUAAGAACAAAGUCGCAAGACGCCUGAAGAUGAGCCUGCGUCCGAUUAGCCAGUUGGUGGGGUAAUGGCCUACCAAAGCAGCGAUCGGUAGCUGGUCUGAGAGGACGAUCAGCCACACUGGGAUUGAGAACGGCCCAGACUCC